GCGGAGGAAAAGAAACCAACCGGGAUUGCCUCAGUAACGGCGAGUGAAGCGGCAAGAGCUCAAAUUUGAAAUCUGGCCCCUCCGGGGUCCGAGUUGUAAUUUGUAGAGGAUGCUUCGGGUGCGGCCCCCGUCGAAGUGCCCUGGAACGGGCCGUCGGAGAGGGUGAGAAUCCCGUCUGGGACGGGGUGCCCGCGCCCGUGUGAAGCUCCCUCGACGAGUCGAGUUGUUUGGGAAUGCAGCUCUAAGUGGGUGGUAAAUUUCAUCUAAAGCUAAAUACCGGCCGGAGACCGAUAGCGCACAAGUAGAGUGAUCGAAAGAUGAAAAGCACCUUGAAAAGGGAGUUAAACAGCACGUGAAAUUGUUGAAAGGGAAGCGCUGACGACCAGACUCGCCCGCGGGGUUCAGCCGGCAUUCGUGCCGGUGUACUUCCCCGCGGGCGGGCCAGCGUCGGUUUGGGCGGUCGGUCAAAGGCCCCCGGAAUGUAGCGCCCCUCGGGGCGCGUUAUAGCCGGGGGUGCAAUGCGGCCUGCCUAGACCGAGGAACGCGCUUCGGCUCG
rnacentral:sRNA from 1 species